CACUGGACUCUAUAUGCAUUAGUCGAACGUCGAUGACACAUUAAUUUUCCUAGGCUUUUGCGCAAUGCUUUCAUCCCACGUUGCAAGGCCGUCGGACGCGCUCUCAAGUCCGCAUUGCAAUAUAAUCAAACGCGUGGAGACGCGCGACAUGUAUGGAUUAAUGGGGUAGUGAAUCAAGUAAAAGUGUUAUUCACGUUGUUGAUAGACCUUCAACUUCAGCAGUGGUCCAACAACAAGAACCUUCGAAACGAUUGGUGAAAGAAGUCCGCAAAAGAAAUCAAAAUUCCACAACACCUCAACAGACAUCGUCUUCGGACAAUGAAAGCGAUAAUUUUCAAAACUCAUAAAAUCAAGCACCCCACAACAAGCUCAACUCCCGUCAAAUCCACCUACAUGCCAAGUUAUUUCCCAGAAGUACCGAUAUUGAAAUGUUUCAAUAUUUUAUUUAAUUGUCCUGUUAAUGCUGUUUAGUUAAUUAUUUGGUAUUAUUAAGAAUAAUAAGAAUGUGAAUGUUAAUAUGUGGAAUGUCCAUCUCUAUCUCAGAUUGCAGGUUUCAAUAAAAAAAUAUUGAUACUAUAAACAA